rnacentral:lncRNA from 1 species
UUGCAGAGUCAAAUUCAAGGGAAGUGCUUCCUGAAGGGGCAUUAAGACUCAUGGAAAUUUGAUGUCAAGCUAUCAAAUGUUAUAAAGUGGAAUUCCUCUGCUGACUUCAGAGAAGAGAUGCUGGUUGGCAGUUGAUAAGGACCUGUCCCUGGAUCUGCAAGACAGUUUGUCUAUUCCUCUGCCAGUGCAGCACUGUUUCAGAAAGCAUACAUCUGGAUCAGGGAAAAAAAGAGAGAGUUCAAACUAUUUUGCUACGUUACUAAAAGUCUCCACCGAUUAUUUCAAUCAAAAGCAAAGAAUCGAUCUCCUUCUAGUUCAGAAGACAGUUGGGUCCUCUCUGCAACAUAUUUUGCUGGUGACUCGAUGGUUCCAGAGACUAACAUGGAAAUAUAAAGUCAUAGUGAACCUUGUGACCAUUUUAAAUCUAAUCCAGGCGAUGCUGUGGGACCUGGCUCCUUGAGGAUGGACAGACGGACGGACAGCAAGGCUGAUGCCUGAGAGCAUGCGGUGAGGUUGGCUGAUGGCAGAAGAAGCACUCCCGACUUUCCUGACUGCCAACAGAGCAGCGCGGUAAAAUGCACUUGUUAUGAAGGAACCUCCCUGACUGCUCUGCCCAGCCCUUCCCGGGGUCCCCACCACCCCUCGCCCCUCGUUGCCGCUCAGCGGGGUCCUUCCCCCAGCUCGGCUCCCCGGUGCCUCCUGGCUCAUGCCCCAUUGGAUAGGUUCUCCCUCUAGCCUACAAAUGCCUAAGCCCAGGCAACGGUUCCCUCCAACACUGUGACCAAACCUCUCUGUCCUUACUUUCCAAUCUGGUAGAAAACACAAGGGAAGCACAAUUUGCUACCCCCCACCCUGAAGGAAAAGAGGACACCUUGGUCAGUGAUCAUAUUUCAGUAAUCAAAGAAAAAAUUAGGUUAUUCUCCUUCCCUUGCUAGACUCCAGCACUCAGAGUAAUCUGAAAUGGAAAAAAGACUGAAAAGGCCUUUGAUAGUGACACACCGCUUUCUCUUCAUGUGCGCUCUUUUAUCAGAGCUUACAGACAUUUGAGCAGAGUGUGGGGCCCUGUUGAAUCGGCUGUUUUGCACAUUUUUAAUGAUUGUUUUCUCAUUCAUUUCCUGUUUUCUUACCAGUGGCCCCAACCACAUUCAGAACCUAGAUAGUAAGUGCCUUGGUAUCUCUGCCAGCUGUGUUUAAACUCCUUUUUCUACUCUUUAAAAAAGCUUAGAGCUCCACUUACUUCCCUUCUGAUACAUAACUUAAGCUAAACUUGACUUGAGGCCAACCAUAUCUAAAAAAAGGAAAAAGAAAGCUUGGGUAGAGCAGGAAACAGGUAAUUCUGCUGCUGUUGCAAGUGCUGGAACUUAGACGUAGUAUUUUCUAAUAACCUUCUCCAGCUGCCAGUUACUUGUUCAAAAUGAAACACAUACAUCGCAGGGGGAAGAAGGCUAAUGUGUUUCUGA